UGUUCUGUAAAAAAGAAAAUAAGUACCCAUUAGGCUUGAUUGCGUAGUGUUGUAUUUCGUCACGUCUCAUCAUGUCGGAGCAGUAACAUCUUUUUUGCACACUAUGCUCGACAGAGUUGUAAUAGUUUUGUUUGUUCACGACAUGGUUUUGCCGCCUUCACAGUCUGAACGACUCCAGCUUGGCUAUGGAAUAUGCCGAGCCCGAGCUCGACCGCAAGGGGAGCCCGGUAUGAUCUGCGACGUCGUGGGCACAUCACUGCAUGCGGCAGCUACACCACACCAUCGCUUGAAGGCGCCCGAAGGCAUCUUCAAGCAACACGUCGAUGAAACACGGAGCGAAAAGGUUGACAUCAUUGGAAAAUUUGCCAUUUUACUUAGUAUGUUUAUUUCAAAAAGGUAGACUACAAACCUUGUUCUAGUAUCCGCUAGGUCGCCACUGACAGAAUCUAGCGUAGUUCUCAGCAACACGCCAUUGCUCAAGCCAAUGUUAAGAUGCAAGGCUGAUUUCGCGCCGGAUUCGAAAGGUUGUUCAACAAUACAUAAAGAUUCUGCACCGGCAGGCAGGGCUUGCAUUGAUCGUGGUGAUAGGCAAUCCUGUAAUAUUUAUAAAAUCUUUAGCACUAAUUAUUUUUACAAGGUGUCCAAUUGAAACCUGAUUAUGUUGUAUCAGUAUGUUUGAGAAUAACGCAUUUUUGGGUUUUUAUAAUCAAUAUGAUUCAGUGGUGUCCUUUUAUCAUCAUAAAACCUUAACUUCAAAGUUUUCAAUACUCUUAUUGAAAUUGUAUCUCUAUACAUGAAACAAUGCUUACCGAUGGAUCUAAAGAGAUGAUUCUGACAGUGUUGUCAUUCAAGCCUACAGCUAAAAACCAUGCCCUCUGUUCUCCAGUAGCUACAGAACCUAACGCCAUACACGAUACAUCAGACGACAGCUUUUUUCUUUCUGUGUAUUCAUUGAGUUGUCCAGUCUGAAAAUAAUUUUUGAUUAGCAAAUUUUAUUACACAAUUUUAGACAAAUUAUUGCAAAUUUAACGUUUGUUGUUCACGACAUGGUUUUGCCGCCUUCACAGUCUGAGCGACUCCAGCUUGGCUAUGGAAUAUGCCGAGCCCGAGCUCGACCGCAAGGGGAGCCCGGUAUGAUCUGCGACGUCGUGGGCACAUCACUGCAUGCGGCAGCUACACCACACCAUCGCUUGAAGGCGCCCGAAGGCAUCUUCAAGCAAUACGUCGGAUUGGGUAAAAAAAUGAAAUAAAAUCCUACUUACAGGAUCCAUUUCAAAAUAGACAAGUUCACCACCAGUCAAUGCUAUCACUACUUGUCUUUGAUUGACGGCGCAUUUUACGAUGGAUUUCUUUCCCGGCGCCUUCCACUCGUUUACCCGCUUGUCGGCGCGGAUGUGUCGGAUGCCGUCCGGGUACACUUGCACCAAAGCAUCGUUUCCGAGAGCGUGACAGCUCAGGGUGGGCGUCGUCCCCAAGAACCCAGAGUCCGUGACUUCCUCGACUGUCUCACCGAUAGAGAGCACGAGCGUGGCGUUUACGAAUGACACAAUGAUGUAAGAAUCAUAUUCCUCUGCAACCAAGAGAAAAACAUGAAGGUAAAAUAGGCCCUAACAGUCCACAUUAAAACAAAUUCCCUGCUGUCAGCAUCCAGUGUGUAGAAAUAUUGAGUCUCGAUGCCUACCUGUGUUAUUGUCGUAACCAUCUCAAUGUGUUCAUCGCCGGAUGGAAGAUUCUGAAAAGAAAAACCACUGGUGUUUAUGUAUGACAAACAACCAGGGUUUUAUUAAUAACUUGUUGAUAAAGAGGAGCAUUCAUAGGUGGUUAUUGUGACGUCACGACAUGUCAGCAACACGGACCAAAAGUUUAUAAUCAUUAUGCUCCAACUUUUCCUGAACAUAUAGCUGCCCUUAUUCAACUAGUAACGUGUUUCUGGGUUGUCCAUUUUUAAUUUUGCUUCCACCUUACUAUAUGUUUGUAAAGAAACCAAAAAAUAUAUUGUGCCUACUGGUUC